rnacentral:tRNA from 1 species
ACGGGUGUGGUGAAAUUGGUAUCACAACGGUCUCCAAAACCGUUUUUCUAGGUUCGAGUCCUAGCACCCGUG